rnacentral:rRNA from 1 species
GAGAGUUUGAUCCUGGCUCAGGGUGAACGCUGGCGGCAUGUCUAAGGCAUGCAAGUCGAACGUGUGUCGCAAGACAUGCGUGGCAAACGGGAGAGUAACACAUUGGUAAUCUACCUUCGUCUCGGGCAUAACUCGGAGAAAUCUGAGAUAAUUCCCGAUAGUCAUGGGGGGACGCAAGUCAUUCCCAUGUAAAGCCUGUCCUCGCGCAAGCGGGGAACGACGGACGAAGAGGGGCCUGUGGCCCAUCAGCUAGUUGGUAGGGUAACGGCCUACCAAGGCGACGACGGGUAGGGGGCCUGAGAGGGUGACCCCCCACACUGGGACUGAGACACUGCCCAGACUCCUACGGGAGGCUGCAGUCAAGAAUCUUCCUCAAUGGACGAAAGUCUGAAGGAGCAAUGCCGCGUGGUCGAUGAAGCUCUUCGGAGUGUAAAGACCUUUUAUCAGGGACGAACUAGUGACGGUACCUGAUGAAUAAGUCACUGCUAACUUCGUGCCAGCAGCAGCGGUAAUACGAAGGUGGCAAGCGUUACCCGGAUUUAUUGGGCGUAAAGCGUCUGUAGACUGUGGGAAAAGUUUUUGGUUAAAUCUUGAGGCUCAACCUCAAGACUGCCAGAAAUACUUUCCCUCUAGAGGUUGGGAGAGGCAAGCGGAAUUACCGGUGUAGUAGUAAAAUGCGUUGAUAUCGGUAAGAACACCAAAAGCAAAGGCAGCUUGCUAGAACACACCUGACGUUGAGAGACGAAAGCGUGGGUAGCGAAUGGGAUUAGAUACCCCAGUAGUCCACGCCGUAAACGAUGGAUACUAAGCGUUGGCAGUAUCGACCCUGCCAGCGCUGUCUAACUAAGCUAACGCAUUAAGUGUCCCGCCUGGGAAGUACGGCCGCAAGGCUAAAACUCAAAGGAAUUGACGGGGGCCCGCACAAGCGGUGGAGCAUGUGGUUUAAUUCGACGCAACGCGAAGAACCUUACCAGGGCUUGACAUCUAGCUGCAAAUUCUAGGAAACUAGAACUUCUUCGAGAGUGCUAUACAGGUGCUGCAUGGUUGUCGUCAGCUCGUGUCGUGAGAUGUUGGGUUAAGUCCCUUAACGAGCGCAACCCUUGUCCUGUGUUAAAUAAUCACAGGAGACUGCCCCGGUUUAACGGGGAGGAAGGUGAGGAUGACGUCAAAUCAGCAUGGCUCUUACGCCUUGGGCAACACACGUGAUACAAUGGCCGGUACAAUGGGUCGCAAAACCGCAAGGUGAAGCUAAUCCUAUCAAAACCGGUCCCAGUUCGGAUUGGGGUCUGCAACUCGACCCCAUGAAGUUGGAAUCGCUAGUAAACGCUGAUCAGCUACGCAGCGUUGAAUACGUUCUCGGGCUUUGUACACACCGCCCGUCACACCAAGAGAGUUGGGAGUACCCGAAAGCCGACAUUUGUUGGACUAAGGUAAGACCAAUGAUAGGGGUGAAGUCGUAACAAGGCAUCCGUAGCGGAAGCUGUGGAUGGAUCACCUCCUUUCUAAGGAGUA